UACGGGGGGGGCAAGCGUUGUUCGGAAUUACUGGGCGUAAAGGGCUCGUAGGCGGUCGCCUAAGUCAGACGUGAAAUCCCCAAGCUUAACUUGGGAACUGCGUCUGAUACUGGGUGGCUUGAGUUCGGGAGAGGAAUGUGGAAUUCCAGGUGUAGCGGUGAAAUGCGUAGAUAUCUGGAGGAACACCGGUGGCGAAGGCGGCAUUCUGGACCGAAACUGACGCUUAAGCGCGAAAGCCAGGGGAGCAAACGGG
rnacentral:rRNA from 1 species